AUGGGGAAGAAGAAGGAGCGGUCAGUGAAUGUGUCGGGCAAGCCCCGUCACUCUCUCGACGUCAACCGCCCCAAUGACAAGAAGGGUGCUGGCGGCGGCGGCGGCGCCGGCGGGAGCCGGUCCGCGGCCACGGUGCGGCGGCUCAAGAUGUACAAACUAAGGCCCAUGAGGGACCGCGGUGGGAAGAUCGUCAAGCACGACCUCCAGUCCAAGGAGCUCCCCAACACCCGCAUCGAGCCUGACCGCCGGUGGUUCGGAAAUACACGAGUUAUCAAUCAGAAAGAACUUGAAUAUUUUAGGCAAGAACUCCAGGCACGACUUACAAAUAACUACAGUGUGUUACUGAAAUCUAAACAGCUGCCACUAUCGCUUCUGCAGGAUCAUCAGAAGCAAGCUCGUGCACAUCUUCUUGACACUGAGCCUUUUGAGCAUGCCUUUGGACCAAAGGGCAAGCGUAAACGGCCAAAACUAUCCAGUCUUGAUUAUGAAUCUCUAAUAAAGAAAGCUGAUGAUUCUCAAGAUGCGUUUGAGGAAAAACAUGCUUCAUCAAAGUUACCAAAGGAUGAAGAGCAAGAUGGCUUAAGGGAUCUAGUUAGGCAUAAUAUGUUUGAGAAGGGACAAAGCAAAAGAAUUUGGGGUGAACUUUAUAAAGUUCUUGACUCUUCAGAUGUUGUUGUGCAGGUGUUGGAUGCCAGGGAUCCAAUGGGCACGAGAUGCUACCAUCUGGAGAAACAUCUGAAGGAGAAUGCCAAGCACAAACACCUGGUAUUCUUACUAAAUAAGUGUGAUCUAAUACCUGCUUGGGCAACAAAAGGGUGGUUGCGUACUCUAUCGAGGGACUAUCCCACCCUAGCAUUCCAUGCAAGCAUCAACAAGUCAUUUGGAAAAGGAUCUCUUCUAUCAGUAUUAAGGCAGUUUGCCCGUUUGAGGAGUGACAAGCAAGCCAUAUCUGUUGGAUUUGUUGGAUAUCCCAACGUUGGGAAGUCCUCAGUUAUCAAUACAUUACGCUCCAAGACUGUUUGCAAGGUAGCUCCGAUUCCUGGAGAGACUAAGGUGUGGCAAUACAUCACCAUGACUAAAAGAAUCUUCUUAAUUGAUUGCCCUGGGGUUGUGUACCAAAACAAUGAUACAGAGACUGAUGUAGUUCUUAAGGGUGUGGUACGGGUGACAAAUUUGGAUGAUGCUUCUGAGCACAUUGGGGAAGUUCUAANNNNNNNNNNNNNGGCUGAUGAUAAUGAUUUUCUCGUCCAGCUGAGCAAGAUGAGUGGAAAGCUACUUAAGGGUGGGGAACCUGAUCUGACAACAGCAGCCAAGAUGGUACUUCAUGACUGGCAGAGGGGCAAGAUACCCUUUUUUGUGCCUCCGCCGCAGCAGAAUGAAGAUGGUCCUUCUAAGAUUACUGAACCUGUGGAGGGAUCUGGUGAGGAAGUGGUCAGCAGUGACCGGGCUGCUGCUGCCAUGAAAGCCAUUGCGGGAAUUAUCUCUUCGCAGCAAACUAUGAAUGUCCCCUGCCAGAAGGAACUUGGCAGAAAUGGCGAAGACAGUGAACUCCCGGAGCAAUCAGACCUUUUGGUAAAAGAGUGA
rnacentral:rRNA from 1 species